GACGAACGCUGGCGGCGUGCUUAACACAUGCAAGUCGAACGGAAAGGCCCUGCUUUUGUGGGGUGCUCGAGUGGCGAACGGGUGAGUAACACGUGAGUAACCUGCCCUUGACUUUGGGAUAACUUCAGGAAACUGGGGCUAAUACCGGAUAGGAGCUCCUGCUGCAUGGUGGGGGUUGGAAAGUUUCGGCGGUUGGGGAUGGACUCGCGGCUUAUCAGCUUGUUGGUGGGGUAGUGGCUUACCAAGGCUUUGACGGGUAGCCGGCCUGAGAGGGUGACCGGCCACAUUGGGACUGAGAUGCGGCCCAGACUCCUACGGGAGGCAGGAGUGGGGAAUAUUGCACGAUGGGCGGAAGCCUGAUGCAGCAACGCCGCGUGCGGGAUGACGGCCUUCGGGUUGUAAACCGCUUUCGCCUGUGACGAAGCGUGAGUGACGGUAAUGGGUAAAGAAGCACCGGCUAACUACGU
rnacentral:rRNA from 1 species